rnacentral:lncRNA from 1 species
GGGACUGGGCCAAAACCUCCAUGCUAAUACACAAACCUAUAAUUAGGCAAGCCUAAUUUGUUUUUAAUAAAGAUAGAUUUGAUACAAUCAGGAAGUUCCAACCAAAUAGUCAAGCAAUUUAAAAUCAAUCCUAUGUUAGCAAGCAUGUCUGCACAUUCAUUUCCUUCCCUGAAUACAUGAGACACAAUAAAAUUCAUGU